AGAAGGAUGGCGGGAGAGUCCCGUUCACACCAUGGACGGGCGCCGUAGGAGCAAUUCCUCCCCAGGAAACUCUCAGGCACCCGUACCGCCAUCAAGAG
rfam:Arthrobacter sp. YC-RL1 contig_48, whole genome shotgun sequence.